AUUGAACGCUGGCGGCAGGCUUAACACAUGCAAGUCGAACGAGUGGCGGACGGGUGAGUAAUGCAUGGGAAUCUGGCUUAUGGAGGGGGAUAACGACGGGAAACGGUCGCUAAUACCGCGUACCAUCGGAUGAGCCCAAGUGGGAUUAGGUAGUUGGUGGGGUAACGGCGUACCUAGGCGACGAUCUCUAGCUGGUCUGAGAGGAUGACCAGCCACACGGGGACUGAGACGCGGCCCAGACUCCUACGGGAGGCAGCAGUGGGGAAUAUUGCGCAAUGGGGGCAAGCCUGAUGCAGCCAUGCCGCGUGAAUGAAGAAGGCCUUCGGGUUGUAAAGUUCGUUCGGCGACGAGGCGUUACUCACAGAAGAAGCACCGGCUAACGCCGUGCCAGCAGCCGCGGUAAUUC
rnacentral:rRNA from 1 species